AACGAACGCUGGCGGCAGGCUUAACACAUGCAAGUCGAGCGCCUCGCAAGAGGAGCGGCAGACGGGUGAGUAACGCGUGGGAAUCUACCGUGCCCUACGGAAUAGCCCCGGGAAACUGGAAUUAAUACCGUAUACGCCCCUCGGGGGAAAGAUUUAUCGGGGUAUGAUGAGCCCGCGUUGGAUUAGCUAGUUGGUGGGGUAAAGGCCUACCAAGGCGACGAUCCAUAGCUGGUCUGAGAGGAUGAUCAGCCACAUUGGGACUGAGACACGGCCCAAACUCCUACGGGAGGCAGCAGUGGGGAAUAUUGGACAAUGGGCGCAAGCCUGAUCCAGCCAUGCCGCGUGAGUGAUGAAGGCCCUAGGGUUGUACAGCUCUUUCACCGGUGAAGAUAAUGACGGUAACCGGAGAAGAAGCCCCGGCUAACUUCGUGCCAGCCGCCGCGGUAA
rnacentral:rRNA from 1 species